UCCAGGUGUCCUCAUAGAGACGAUAAGGACUCCCAGGUGUCCUCAUAGAGACGAUAACGUCUCCAGGUGUCCUCAUAGAGACGAUAAGGACUCCCAGGUGUCCUCAUAGAGACGAUAACGUCUCCAGGUGUCCUCAUAGAGACGAUAACGUCUCCAGGUGUCCUCAUAGAGACGAUAAGGACUCCCAGGUGUCCUCAUAGAGACGAUAACGUCUCCAGGUGUCCUCAUAGAGACGAUAAGGACUCCCAGGUGUCCUCAUAGAGACGAUAACGUCUCCAGGUGUCCUCAUAGAGACGAUAACGUCUCCAGGUGUCCUCAUAGAGACGAUAACGUCUCCAGGUGUCCUCAUAGAGACGAUAAGGACUCCCAGGUGUCCUCAUAGAGACGAUAACAUCUCCAGGUGUCCUCAUAGAGACGAUAACGUCUCCAGGUGUCCUCAUAGAGACAAUAAGGACUCCCAGGUGUCCUCAUAGAGACGAUAACGUUUCCAGGUGUCCUCAUAGAGACGACAAGGACUCCCAGGUGUCCUCAUAGAGACGAUAACGUCUCCAGGUGUCCUCAUAGAGACGAUAACGUCUCCAGGUGUCCUCAUAGAGACGAUAACGUUUCCAGGUGUCCUCAUAGAGACGACAAGGACUCCCAGGUGUCCUCAUAGAGACGAUAACGUCUCCAGGUGUCCUCAUAGAGACGAUAACGUUUCCAGGUGUCCUCAUAGAGACGACAAGGACUCCCAGGUGUCCUCAUAGAGACAAUAACGUCUCCAGGUGUCCUCAUAGAGACGAUAACGUCUCCAGGUGUCCUCAUAGAGACGAUAACGUCUCCAGGUGUCCUCAUAGAGACGAUAACGUUUCCAGGUGUCCUCAUAGAGACGAUAAGGACUCCCAGGUGUCCUCAUAGAGACGAUAACGUCUCCAGGUGUCCUCAUAGAGACGAUAACGUCUCCAGGUGUCCUCAUAGAGACGAUAACGUUUCCAGGUGUCCUCAUAGAGACGAUAAGGACUCCCAGGUGUCCUCAUAGAGACGAUAACGUCUCCAGGUGUCCUCAUAGAGACGAUAACUCUUUGUCUUUCUGUCUGUCUCUG